UAGGGAAUCUUCGGCAAUGGAUGGAAGUCUGACCGAGCAACGCCGCGUGAGUGAAGAAGGUUUUCGGAUCGUAAAGCUCUGUUGUUAGAGAAGAACGUUGGUAGGAGUGGAAAAUCUACCAAGUGACGGUAACUAACCAGAAAGGGACGGCUAACUACGUGCCAGCAGCCGCGGUAAUACGUAGGUCCCGAGCGUUGUCCGGAUUUAUUGGGCGUAAAGCGAGCGCAGGCGGUUCUUUAAGUCUGAAGUUAAAGGCAGUGGCUUAACCAUUGUACGCUUUGGAAACUGGAGGACUUGAGUGCAGAAGGGGAGAGUGGAAUUCCAUGUGUAGCAGUGAAAUGCGUAGAUAUAUGGAGGAACACCGGUGGCGAAAGCGGCUCUCUGGUCUGUAACUGACGCUGAGGCUCGAAAGCGUGGGGAGCAAACAGG
rnacentral:rRNA from 1 species